AUGGCUCAGGAUGAACGCUGGCGGCGCGCCUAACACAUGCAAGUCGAACGGUGAAGUCCCUUCGGGGGCGGAUCAGUGGCGGACGGGUGAGUAACGCGUGAGUAACCUGCCCUUAUGAGCGGAAUAACGUCGGGAAACUGACGCUAAUACCGCAUAACGCACGGAAGUGGCAUCGCUUCCGUGCCAAAGCUCAGACGCAUAAGGAUGGACUCGCGUCCCAUUAGAUAGUUGGCGGGUAACGGCCCACCAAGUCAGCGAUGGGUAGCCGGACUGAGAGGUUGAACGGCCACAUUGGAACUGAGAGACGGUCCAGACUCCUACGGGAGGCAGCAGUGGGGAAUAUUGGGCAAUGGGCGAAAGCCUGACCCAAGCGACGCCGCGUGAGCGAAGAAGGUCUUCGGAUUGUAAAGCUCUGUUGACAGGGGCGAAGAAAGUGACGGUACCUGUCGAGGAAGCCACGGCUAACUACGUGCCAGCCGCAGC
rnacentral:rRNA from 1 species